AUAGCUUAUUAGUUACCAAUAAGUCGAGUGCUAAUUCCCCCAAAGCAAUCAGAACCGGAUGAUACAUCUUUUGUAGGGGAAGCUUCCAACACAGAAGGGGGCAAACGACUGCAAUGACGGACAAUAAAGGUCUACAUCUGCGUCAUUGGCAUCUAGGGUUCGAUUUCUUUGAUGUAUUUUCAAUGUCGUCUAAGCCUAUGAACAAAAUAGAAAAAAACAUGGAGUUUUCUUUAAAGGAAAGAAGCGACCAGGUCGAAUAAAAAUCAACCAAUGACAGCAUCGUUGCCAUGGACCUUCUGCUAGCUUCUUCGAGUCCCCAGAGAAAAAAGAUAGUGAUUCCUUUAGCCAUAUUAGCAAGCAGUCAAAUUUAGGGUUUCCUAUUCGUUGAAAUCCGAACAUCAAGCCGAUGAACAACUAGGGUUUUUGUUGGGCACCACCAGCUAGCGAACAUCGGUGUAUUUGUGCUAGGAGAAAAGACGUGUAGACGAAACAAUGGGGGUGACAUUCAUCUGGUGGUUGCCGACAUUCACAGCGAUUGGAGUGAAGGUGACAUUCGUCUGGUGGUUGCCAACAUUCACAGCCAUUGGAGAGAGAAGGUGGAGGAGGAAGCAAGCGGUGGAGGUACCGAUUAGGGGUUGGAAGGAUCAGGAAGUAAAAAUGUUAACUAUACAAGGUAACCCGAUGAAGAUGAAGGUAACCCGAUGAAGGGUACCUGGGGUCAGAUUUAUGUAAGCAUAUAAUGACAUUUUUGAGUAUAAGUCACAUGCGAGGCCUUGCAAAUGUGAUUGAAGUCCUGAAACAACAUCCAUGAUAAAACAAUAAAAAUAAAACGAUUUGAAGAUUUUUUGGAAAUUUGAUGUUGAAUCUGAAUGGUGGAGAUUAGAUUUUGACAUCGGUCAAUACACCUUUGAACCUCGUGAACAGCAGAAGAAAAACCUGUCCAGCAAACAUUAACAUGGCAGUCCGCUUUUUGAUUUAAUUCCAGCCCAACUGAAAGUGCUAAGGCAGCCCAAUAUCAUUUAUAUUUUGAGAGCCUAUUUGUCAUAUGUUAUAUUAUUAAGCUGUGAAAUGUGUCCAUGUUGGGAGCCCAUUUACAUGAUUUUCAGCCGAAGGAAAAAUGAAACACAAUUAAAUCAAACCAACUUUCAUAUAUGCCGACAGCUUUAUUCAUUAAUAAAAAUAAAAUAAAGGGGUGGUUAUUUAUUAUCA